UGUCAAUUGAAUUGAACGUUCUAAACAGGUAACGCAACCCCAUGAUGACAAGAACUGCCCUUAAGAAGGGGUAGUUUACCGUUAAAAUCUGAACUGCCUGUACCGUCCAUGGUUUCAAAUAAUUUAAUGCCUAAAUAUCUCCUGACUCAACUGCCAAAACAGUAAUUACCUGUUUAGUGCUAAUAUAAUCCACUUCGUAAACCCUUUUUUCUCACCUCGUAAUCUCCACCAUUUGCUUUUGCUUCCAAGAAAAUCCAAAAAGAAUCCAUCGAUAAUUCCAGCGUCAAUGUGUCACUCAAUACCCGCUUAAUCACCUGUGGAAGUCCUAAAUCCUGAUCUUCUUUGGCCAAACUACAUUGCCAUCGAGAACCCUUUUCAUUUUGGGUACCAUCCAUGGCAAUAGUUAGAAAUUCUAGCUUCGCUCUUACAUUUCAUACUUCAGUCCUUGCGAAGAGCCAGAGUGGUGGUUUGAACAAGGGGGUUUUUGGUCUUCCAGUAUCUGGUCAUGGGGUUUCUUGGAAUGUGAGGCAAGUGAAGAGUGGAGCUAUUAGGCAUGGGGUUGUGCGUGCAGUAGCAGAAAUGAGUACUAAAAAAAAGUCCAAGAGUUUGGAUCUUUUGGGUUUGGAUGUGGUGGCAGAGGGAGAGCUGAGAGAAAAAGGGUUCUUGGGGAUGAGGAAGACGAAGCUGGUUUGUACAAUUGGGCCGGCUUGUUGUUCAUCGGAGGAAUUGGAGAGAUUGGCAAUGGGAGGGAUGAAUGUGGCUAGGCUUAACAUGUGCCAUGGCACAAGGGAAUGGCAUCGCAAUGUGAUUAGGAGGAUCAAGAAAUUGAAUGAGCAAGGAAGGUUUUGUGUUUCUGUGAUGAUUGAUACUGAAGGGAGUCAGAUUUUUGUGGUGGAUCAUGGAGCUCCUUCCUCUCUUAAAGCUGAGGAAGGUUCAAUUUGGUUGUUUACCGCAAAAAAAUUUGAGGGUUCUCUUCCAUUCACAGUUCAAGCAAACUAUGAAGGGUUUUCUGAAGGAAUUAUAGUUGGUGAUGAACUGGUUAUUGAUGGUGGAAUGGCAAGCUUUGAAGUAAUUGAAAAGAUUGGACAUGAUUUGCGUUGUAAGUGCACAGAUCCUGGUCUGCUUCUGCCUGGAGCCAAAUUGAGCUUUUGGAGAGAAGGGGUGCUUGUGGAGAGGAAUUAUGGACUGCCUACUUUAUCAGUGAAGGAUUGGGCUGAUAUUGAGUUUGGAAUUUCUGAAGGUGUUGAUUUGAUUGCUAUGUCAUUUGUUAAUGAUGCUGAUUCUGUCAAGCACCUAAAGAACUGCCUCUCCAGUAAUUCUGCAAAAUCAAUAAAAGUAUUAGCAAAGAUUGAGAGUUUGGAUUCUCUUCAGAAAUUGGAAGAAAUUGCAGAGGCUUCUGAUGGAAUCAUGGUGGCUCGUGGUGACCUAGGAGUAGAAAUCCCUCUUGAACAGAUUCCAACUGUUCAAGAAGAAAUAACUCAUAUCUGCAGGCAACUAAACAAGCCUGUGAUCAUAGCUUCUCAACUUCUUGAGUCAAUGGUUGAAUAUCCGACCCCAACACGUGCUGAGGUGGCAGAUGUUUCUGAAGCAGUUCGACAAUAUGCCGACGCAUUGAUGUUGUCUGGUGAGUCAGCUAUUGGAUCAUAUGGAGAGAAAGCUCUUUCUGUCUUGCGGAUGGUCAGCAAUCGAAUGGAACU
rnacentral:misc_RNA from 1 species